rnacentral:lncRNA from 1 species
ACCCAGUCAGCAGACUAACAGUGGGCCAACGUUGGCAAAUGGUCGGCCCGUUGGUCGACCGUUGGUGUUGGCUUCACAACAUUGGCCCAACGUUGGCAAAUUGUCGGUCCGUUGGUCGCAAGUUUAUGUUGGCUGCACAACAUUAGCCCAACGUUGGCAAAUUGUCGGUCCGUUGGUCGCAAGUUUAAGUUGGCUGCACAACAUUGGCCCAACGUUGGUAAAUUGUCGGUAAAUUGGUCGCACGUUGGUGUCGGCUGCACAAUAUUGGCCCAACGUUGGUCUGUUGUUGUAAAUUCAUAUUAUUAUCUCAUGUUGGUUAUAAAUAAUCGGGCAAACGUUGGCAUUAUAUGUUAGUAGCAACAUAAAACCGAUAUGAAAUUUUGUUAAUAGAAUUGAUUAUAUAAUAUUUUACGCUUUAUUUCUCUUGGGAGGCGGAUAAUUUCGAUUGCAGCAGGCUUUAUGAAAAGUUAA